AACGAACGCUGGCGGCAUGCCUAACACAUGCAAGUCGAACGAGACCUUCGGGUCUAGUGGCGCACGGGUGCGGAACGCGUGGGAACCUGCCCUUAGGUUCGGAAUAACUCCCCGAAAGGGGUGCUAAUACCGGAUAAUGUCUUCGGGCCAAAGAUUUAUCGCCUUUGGAUGGGCCCUCGUUGGAUUCGGUGGUUGGUAGGGUAAAAGCCUACCAAGGCGACGAUCCAUGGCUGGUCGGAGAGGAGGAUCAACCACACUGGGACUGAGACACGGCCCAGACUCCUACGGGAGGCAGCAGUAGAGAAUAUUGGACGAUGGGCGCAAGCCUGAUCCAGCAAUGCCGCGUGAGUGAUGAAGGCCUUAGGGUUGUAAAGCUCUUUUACCCGGGAUGAGAAUGACAGUACCGGGAGAAUAAGCUCCGGCUAACUCCGUG
rnacentral:rRNA from 1 species